rnacentral:lncRNA from 1 species
UGAAAUCGGGGUGUCACAAGUCACGAGCAUCUACUAGGUUCUAACUACAACUGAAAAGUCUGAAAUGUACUGAGUACAGACAAAUGAAAUAAAGAGGGAGAAAAGCAGUGCUGCAGACGCCAGCAGCUACCUUGCUAAACUCUGAUGACUCUGCCUCUGAUCAACCAAUACCUGCUACUGGGUCAAGAAAUACCUAAAUCUGCACACAUGGUGCAGGGAGUAAAGUGAGUACUCCGACUCGGUGAGUAAUAAUAAUAAAUAAAUACUGAAGGCAAGAAAUCACGUAAAACAUAUCAAGAUGUUGUAUAUAAGCAGUCCAAAACCAGUAAGAAAGCAGUGAAGCUGUAAAACAAAUCUCUUAAAAUAUCUUAGCUCAAUUUAAACUUCUUUGAAAAUGGCCAUUUCAACGAUUACGCAAUUGAAUGCAAAAUAGUUUGUGCAGAGAAGCACAGAAAUUUGCCCCUCGGGCACAAAUACCAUAGUUUAUCAGGUAAAAUGAUAAGUAAAUAUGAAAGAUAAAUAAUUAAAGGUUCGCCCCUCGGGCACAAUGUCAACAACUCCGUCCCUUGGGCAAUAUCUAAGAAUAAUACUAGCCCCUCGGGCAAUCACAUAGAAUGGCACCAGCCCCUCGGGCAAUCACAUAGAACAAUACCAGCCCCUCGGGCUAUCACAUAGUACAAUAUCAGCCCCUCGGGCUAUAUCUCACAUCCCAAUGGGUACUCGUGCUCACUAGGGGUGUACAGACUCCGGGAGGGGCCCCUUACGGCCCAAGCGCAAUAUCAAGCCAUCUCGUAGCAUCAAUCUAGGCCCUCGGCCUCAUAUCAGUCAAGCUACCUCGUGGCGUAUAUAUGUAUCUUAGUCCCUCUGCCUCAUAAACAAUAUCAACAAGCCACCUCGUGGCAUACAUAUCUCAGGCCCUCGGCCUCAAUCAGUAUCAGUUUUUCCUCACAACUAGGCCCUCGGCCUUACUCAGUCAAAAAUACUCACAAACCCCUCGGGCAUUAGUAAAACAACAUUUCUCAACCCAAAACAUCAUUUAAAAUAUCAUUUAAGUCUCAAAACCGGAGUAAAAAUGACUGAGUAGUAAAACAGUGGACAAUAACAUGACUGAGUUCAAUUAAUAAGUCAAAGUAGUGAGGAAAUAGUAAUUAAAAUCCCCGAAGGUUUUAAAUAGUUGGCAUGAAGCCCAAACAUGUGAAUCAACCCAAAUCAUGAUGAUAACAAAUAAGUUUCAGUCAAAUACGAGGUAAAAUCAUCAAUCAGGACGGACCAAGUCACAAUCCCCACACGACCCCAUGCUCAUCGUCAAGCGUGUGCCUCACCUCAAUAUAACACUACGAUGUGCAAUCUAGGAUUUCAAACCCUCAGAACAUCAUUUACAAUCAUUACUCACCUCGAACCGGCUAAAACUCUAGCUUGCGACGCCUUUGCCCCUCAAAUUGACCUCCACACGCAUCGAAUGUAUUUAAAAUCAGAACGAAUACGUCACAAUAUGCCUAGGGAACAAAGCCCAAACAAAACAAUCGAAAAACACCAAAAAACUCGAAAUUAGCAAAACUCGAGCCCCAGGCCCACUUCUCGAAACUCAGCAAUUUUUACAUCAAUGGGUUCCUUAUCUCCCCACGAGUUCAACCAUACUAAUUUUACCAAAAUCCAACAUCAACUCGACCCUCAAAUCUUCAAAUUAAACCAAGAGGGUUUUCAAGAUUUUACCAACUAAAAUUAUCAAUUAAAUGUUAAAAAAAACGAUGGAUUCGAGUAAUCUAACCACAAUUGAGUUAAGAACACUUACCCUGAUGUUUUCCUUGAAAAUCUCUCGAACAAUCGCCUCACCCGAGCUCCCUCAACUCUAUUUUUGUCAAAAAUGACCAAAACUCCCGUUUUAUAACAUUUUCUGAUUCGGGCACCACAGCUGGCGCCGGGCGCUGCCUGUGAUGCUGGUUCCAGUAGCCAAAAUGAAUCCCGGCUCCAUGGAUGGCGCCCCGCGCUACCCUGGGCGCAGGCGAUGGGAAACUAUUUUUCCCCGACACGAAAAUGGGCAUAACUCUCUCAUACGAUGUCCAAAUUGGAUGAUUAUUUUUGCUAUGGCUCCGAAAUUUCGAUACGGAUCUAAUGCUUUAAUAAAACUGAAUUUGGAGCUCAUUUUCUAAUAUGAUACCACUUAUUCUUGAAGAAGGACAUCAAAAAUUCUUGAAAUACCCAAGUUAAACUCCAAUAACCAUCCAAACUCCACCCGAGGCCCUCGGGACCUCAACCAAAUAUAUAAAAAUGUCCUAAAAUAUCAUGCGAACUUACUCAGAGUUUCAAAUAAUACCAAGCAAUGUCGAAACUACACAAUUCACACAUCAAUUCGGACUUAUGAGUUUCAAACUUUUCCAUUUACAAAACGCGUGCCGUAACGUAUAAAAUGAAUCCGGAAUGACUUCAAAUUUUGCACACAAGUCAUUAAUGACAUAAUGGAGCUACUGCAACUUCCGGAAUUUUAUUCCGACCUCUAUAUCAAAAUCUCACCUAUCAACCGGAAAACACCGAAAUCUCCAUUUCGCCAAUUCAAGCCUAAACCUUCCACGGACCUUCAAAAUGCAUUCCGAUCAUGCUCCUAUGUCCCAAAUCACCUAACGGAGCUAACCAAAUCAUAAAAAUUUUGAUUCGAGAUCAUAUACAAACAAGUCAAAUCUUGGUCAAACCUUUCAAACUUCAAGCUUCAACUGAGAACUGUUUUCUUCCAAAUUCGCUCUGAUUACCCUGAAAACCAAAACCAAUGGUUUACAUAAGUCAUAAUACAUCACACAGGGCAAGUCAUGCCCGAGAAUUGGCGAUCAAAGUGCAAAAGCUCAAAAUGACCGGUCGGGUCGUUAUAGAUGACCACGCGAUAAUGUCACGUAUAAUCCCUCAUUGAGGAGUGAUUACCGGACAUUGUGUGGGGUGGUCCAUAUUUUUUAAUAAACCUAGGACCCCCUUUUAUUUAUUCUUUAUUCUUUUAGAAAUUUAACUCCUUAUUCUAAAAAAAUUAGCUUUUCUAAUUGUUCUUUCAAAACUUGUUUACUUUAAAACCAUUAUGUGUUGAAAUCCCCUAUUAUUUGAGCCUUAUUUGCUUAUAUGUUAAUUGCACCUCAAUUCACAAUAAUUGUCUGGCCGCGAAUCACACUAGUGUAUUCUGAGGAGUGCCUAACAUCUUCCCCUUAGAAUAAUUUCAAGCUCUUACCCUAUCUCUGAUUAUUCAAAUCGAACUCUUUUGGUGUCCUAAUGCACCCUAAUCAUUAGGUGGUGACUCUCCAAAUUCAAACCCAGUUCCCAAAAGGAAUGAGUUGUCUCUCCAAAUGUUAUAAACCCGAUUUCUGCUUAGGAAAAAAAAGGGGCGCGACACUCACACCCAGAUUUCAUAGCCAAGACAGAGUAAGUGCAGUGUAGAAAGGCCAGCUUUCAUGUGUCCAAGUUCAGAGGGAACUCAAAGGUCCCAAGGCAAGUCACACAAAAAAGAGGCAGAACCUAGUGUUCUAAAGGUAUAGUAAAAGUGCAGGACACAUGUUUGAAAGGAUUUUGUUUAAAAACUAGACUGACAUGUCCAUUUUGAAAGCAAUCAAUAACAGAAAUGGUUGAAAGCAGUUGUAUUAGUAAGACAGAGUUCAAACACUUCAAGGUAAGACCACACACAGUAAGUGAAUGAAUUCAGUAAUCACACAUGGGGGUAAAAGGGGAUUUGGGGAUACUUAUAUAUUGACUACAUACACCUGACCUCAGCAGGAAUAUUAGGACUGGUAGGGACAUGCUCAGAGAUAGUUGGAUACUACCAGUCAUGAAAAACAUAGAGAAGGGAUAGGGGAUUUGGGAUUCACAAAAUGGUAAGUGCACAGUAGGUAAAAGAAUACAAUCAUAUGGGCAUGCUUGAAUUACAUGAAUAUAAAGGGAGGGGAAUUAUAUCAGCAUGCUUAGAUACAAACUUCACAACAAGACCACAAGUAAACGCAGGCCAGAAAUAAAAGAAACUGAAGCAAGAAUAGAAACAUGUUAUUGUUCAGGCUUUAAACUAAACUAGAACAUACCAGUGAAGAUAGAGGUAAAUAAAAAUGAAGGAACCAAGGUUUACAGAUAAUUAGACAUAGCUUGCAGCCGGCCAAUAGUAGUAGAAUAACACCGAAUUUUUCUUUAAGUAAGAGAGGGGUUUUUGAAAGCGAAUUCUGGUGUCUUGUUAAUGAAAGACUUAGGGUAUUUAUAGCUUUGAAAGAUAGGUAGAAGUAAUCAAAAUUAGAAUCCAAUUAAUAUAAAUAUUCCCCUUUAAUCAAGGAAUUACAAAUUAAACGGAUACCAAUAGGGAUAAUUAAGGAAAGAAAAUCAGUUUGAGAAAGAUUGGUUUUUACCAAAUAAGGGGUAGUACAAGUAUAGAGCAUAUGAUUGAGUCUAAGUAUAGAAUAUAUUAAUUUGAGGAAAAGAUUCACCAAGAAUGAAGUACCACAACAAAUAAGGAAAUGGAAUCAAUCAACUUAAACAAACGAGUAAAAUUUUAGGGGUUUAUAAGAAAACCUUGCAAUCAAACCGUAAUUUAAGGAAAUCAGGAUCAAUCAAGAGGGAGUCAUGAUUCUGCACUUUGACAUAUAAAUAGAGAAGAAUGCACAGGCGUAUCAGACAUGCAAGGUCAGCCAUAUAGAUAAAAAGAAGAAAAAGAUGAACAAACUAGAUGAACACAAUCAAACAGAAGUGACACGAGUAGGCUAAGGACCAAAAAGAACCCACUCGAAGCAUGGUAAUCAACAGAAACUUAACAAAGUCAAGUAGUCAUGGAUAUACAUAGAACCAGAGUGAAGAAACCAAUCUAACACACAGCAAUAGGCGAAGAAGGUCAGGCCAACACAUAGAAACAAGUAAAGAAAACCUUUAAGACUCAUAGUAACAAGUGAAGAAAAUCUUUAAGAAAUUAGGGCUUUUGGCAGAGUUGAGUUAAAAGAGGUAAGAACUUAGAAUCGGUUAAGAUAAACAAAGAAAAGGGUCUAAUCAUAAAGAAAUCGAUCGAAUCAAAUAAACAAAGACAGUUCCAGAAUCCCGAAUAAAACCAAAAUAAUUAGGGUUUUCAACGUGAUGAAUCAGAUAGAAGAAAAACAUAAAUAAACCGUUUAAACAUAGUAAAAUCAUAUGAUAGUACUAAAAAUCAAAGGAGAAGUUAUAAAAAGAGGGGUUAAGAAACCCUAGUCUUGAAGACUAAAAUUCACUUUGAAAAAAUCGGGAAAAACCUAUGAGGAAAACACCAAAAGCCCAUGAUAUACACAGAUCUAAGACAAAUCUAAAAGAAAAUCGGAAAAUCUUUAGAUUUUAGGGUUUCAGAGAACCCAGAGAAGGUGAGAAAACAUUAAAAUGUUAUCGGUUUUAGCCGGAAGAGUCAUGGAUCUUACUCGAACGGCCAUGGAUGACCGGAAAAUAGCAUGAGAAACCAUGGGAGGCGAGUGAACCGCCUCUGGUUCAUUUGAAGGCCUCAAAACGAUGACACGCGUUCAAGAGGGAGCCAUAAGGCUGGUAGGUGUCGAGAACACCAUAGAUUCCGGUAGGGAGAUGGCCGGAGAAGGUGGAUAUGGUACAUUGGAGAGGAUGGGAGAAGAGAAGGUUCUAGAGAGAACCAGAGAUAAAGAGAGGGAGAUAAGAGGCCGGUUGAGAGAGAAUG